rnacentral:rRNA from 1 species
AUUGAACGCUGGCGGCAGGCCUAACACAUGCAAGUCGAGCGGAUGAAGGGAGCUUGCUCCUGGAUUCAGCGGCGGACGGGUGAGUAAUGCCUAGGAAUCUGCCUGGUAGUGGGGGAUAACGUCCGGAAACGGGCGCUAAUACCGCAUACGUCCUGAGGGAGAAAGUGGGGGUUCUCGGACCCCAAGCUAUUAGGUUAGCCUAGGUCGGAUUAGCUAGUUGGUGGGGUAAAGGCCUACCAAGGCGACGAUCCGUAACUGGUCUGAGAGGAUGAUCAGUCACACUGGAACUGAGACACGGUCCAGACUCCUACGGGAGGCAGCAGUGGGGAAUAUUGGACAAUGGGCGAAAGCCUGAUCCAGCCAUGCCGCGUGUGUGAAGAAGGUCUUCGGAUUGUAAAGCACUUUAAGUUGGGAGGAAGGGCAGUAAGUUAAUACCUUGCUGUUUUGACGUUACCAACAGAAUAAGCACCGGCUAACUUCGUG